AGUGAACGCUGGCGGUAGGCCUAACACAUGCAAGUCGAACGGCAGCACAGUAAGAGCUUGCUCUUACGGGUGGCGAGUGGCGGACGGGUGAGGAAUACAUCGGAAUCUACUUUUUCGUGGGGGAUAACGUAGGGAAACUUACGCUAAUACCGCAUACGACCUACGGGUGAAAGCAGGGGAUCUUCGGACCUUGCGCGAUUGAAUGAGCCGAUGUCGGAUUAGCUGGUUGGCGGGGUAAAGGCCCACCAAGGCGACGAUCCGUAGCUGGUCUGAGAGGAUGAUCAGCCACACUGGAACUGAGACACGGUCCAGACUCCUACGGGAGGCAGCAGUGGGGAAUAUUGGACAAUGGGCGCAAGCCUGAUCCAGCCAUACCGCGUGGGUGAAGAAGGCCUUCGGGUUGUAAAGCCCUUUUGUUGGGAAAGAAAAGCAGCAGGUUAAUACCCCGCUGUUCUGACGGUACCCAAAGAAUAAGCACCGGCUAACUUCGUA
rnacentral:rRNA from 1 species